GACACACACACACACAGUGGACACACACACACACACUGGACACACACACUGGACACACACACACACACACACACUGGACACACACACACACACACACACACACACACACACACACGGCUUCCCUAUAAUUGUGAGGACCUUGACACAGGACCUUCAAAUGAGGACCAUCAUUUCUGAACAAACAGACACAUUUUUCCAUCACUAAGUGGUCCCAUAAACACAGAUAUCACUUAACCUGAAAAACUCCAAUGGAGAAAUAGCCAUGCAGAGCAACAGUCUAGUGAGGACCAGUGGUUGCUAGGCAGUUCCUGUAUCAAAGGUUCUAGAACAGCUUCUAUCCCAGUUCUAUCUGCCUGUUAAAUCAGUUUCUGGAUCACAGGUUCUAGAACAGCUUCUAUCCCAGUUCUAUCUGUCUGUUAAAUCAGUUUCUGGACCACAGGUUCUAGAACAGCUUCUAUCCCAGUUCUAUCUGUCUGUUAAAUCAGUUUCUGGACCACAGGUUCUAGAACAGCUUCUAUCCCAGUUCUAUCUGUCUGUUAAAUCAGUUUCUGGACCACAGGUUCUAGAACAGCUUCUAUCCCAGUUCUAUCUGUCUGUUAAAUCAGUUUCUGGACCACAGGUUCUAGAACAGCUUCUAUCCCAGUUCUAUCUGUCUGUUAAAUCAGUUUCUGGACCACAGGUUCUAGAACAGCUUCUAUCCCAGUUCUAUCUGUCUGUUAAAUCAGUUUCUGGACCACAGGUUCUAGAACAGCUUCUAUCCCAGUUCUAUCUGUCUAAAUC